UUCCAGAAGCAUUGUCUAUUUUGUUCUCAUUUUGCAACGCAUCUCAUUCUGUCCUUUUGCACCAGCUUCAUCUUCUGAUUUAUAUUUCAUAUGUCUGCUGAAAGGUACCAUUUUCAGGUUUUCUGAAAACCCUAUUUAUUCAUCGGACAAAGAACAACAUUCGAACCGGACUACGCGCAAGAAGAAAUAGAAAAGAGGAAGGAGACCAUGUUAAAAGCAUAAAUCCUGGAUACCUGUCAUAGGAGCAGAACUGCUUAAUACAGUAAAGCAAAUUGGCUACAAAAUUGCUUUCUCUAUUUAAAAUUAUAUAUUUAUCAUGCAUCCCACAAACUCAGUUACAUAUAUAUGUUACAGCAACAUAGUCACAUACUUUGCUUUAAAUAUUGCAAAUGCUCCAAAGACAUUUUUAUUAUACUAUGCAGUGACAUACAUAUAUUGUUUAUCUAAAUUGUUUUGAAUAUAUAUAUUUCUACUUGUACCCUUACCUCUGCAAAUCUUGUUUCAUUGUACUCUCUUUUAUAUUCAA